UACGUAGGGUGCAGGCGUUAAUCGGAAUUACUGGGCGUAAAGCGUGCGCAGGCGGUCUUUUUAAGUCAGAUGUGAAAUCCCCCGGGCUUAACCUGGGAACUGCGUUUGAAACUGGAAGGCUAGAGUGUGGCAGAGGGGGGUGGAAUUCCACGUGUAGCAGUGAAAUGCGUAGAUAUGUGGAGGAACACCGAUGGCGAAGGCAGCCCCCUGGGCUAACACUGACGCUCAUGCACGAAAGCGUGGGGAGC
rnacentral:rRNA from 1 species